rnacentral:tRNA from 1 species
GCCGAAGUGGUGGAACUGGUAGACACGCCAUCUUGAGGGGGUGGUGGGCGAAAGCCCGUGGGGGUUCGACUCCCCCCUUCGGCACCA